CACGGGGGGAGCAAGCGUUGUUCGGAAUCACUGGGCGUAAAGGGCGUGUAGGCGGUUUGGUAAGUGGGAUGUGAAAUGCCUCGGCUCACCCGAGGACCGGCAUCCCAAACUGCCAAGCUUGAGUAUGGGAGAGGAUGUGGGAAUUCCUGGUGUAGCGGUGAAAUGCGUAGAUAUCUGGAGGAACACCGGUGGCGAAGGCGGCAUCCUGGACCGGUAUUGACGCUGAGGCGCGAAAGCUAGGGGAGCAAACGGGG
rnacentral:rRNA from 1 species